UGGUGGAGUGAUUUGUCUGGUUAAUUCCGUUAACGAACGAGACCUCGACCUGCUAAAUAGUCCGCCGAAGGUUUCGACCUUUGUGUGGGACUUCUUAGAGGGACAUUCGGUGUGUAGCCGAAGGAAGUUCGAGGCAAUAACA
rnacentral:rRNA from 1 species